rnacentral:lncRNA from 1 species
UGGUUCUAGGUUGGAGGCGUUAGCAGCAUUUUGGCUGGGGUAUAUGGGAGGCAAUAUGGAAACCAUCAAACUUGUUCUCACGUCAUUCUGCAAGUCCUGGUGUCCUGAGACUGGGGCAAUGAGUUUGGAUGAAGAACAGAACAGAGGUAAAGGGCCCUGUCAUCACAUCACAUGAGAAAGUCCAUGUUAUCAACAUGACAUCACUGGUGGUGCUAGCCAUGAUCACUGGGUGUGCUGAAGCCCUAUCCCCAAGAUGACUAUAUUUGGAGACAGGAUUUUUGGAGGAAUAUUUCAUCUUUUGGUUUAGAAAUUCAAAGCAUUCAAGUUUAUUAAGGAAUUGGAACUUAAUUCUUUCCAUGAGAGUUUUAACAGCUGCACUGCUUUGGGAGAAUUUGGCUUCAACAUUUCUUCUAGGGCAACUCUGAAUACAGCAGAUGUGAAAUUAUCAUGUUUCCAGCUCGCACCCUCAUGCUGAGAUGACCCACUCAUGAAACAACCUGAAGCCUUUUCCCCCAGUUUCAGAGAAAGAAAGAGACCCACCAUUUGAGCAUAGCGGUGAACUGAAGGAGAGUGCAAUGACACAACCACCACCAAGGAAUGCAGUGGAUACUGAUUAUAAAGGAUUUGGACAACUGUAAGGAAAACUGGAAAACAAUAUGGAGGAAAAUUUGGACACACUCUUACAGAAGAAGAUGAUGGUAAGACACACUGGGAUAAAAUGGCCGUGGAACAGAUGGAGGCAGAGAUUGGGGUUAUGCUGUGACAAACCAAGUUCUGCUAGAAACUGGAAGAGGCAAAGAAGGAUCUUCACCAAAGAAUUCAGAGGAAGUACAGCACUACCAGCAUUUUGCUUCUGGACGUCUGGCCUCCGGAACUAUGAGAAUAAGUUUCUGUUAUUUUCUGUUAUUUUAAGCCACAAAGUCUGUGGUUCUUUGUUCCGGCAGCCCUAAUAACUAAUACAAAUAUAUUUACAUUUAAAGAAAUGCAGGGAAGGAAGUGUAGGAUUUUCAUGUACUCCACCCUCAGUUUCCCAUAUUGUUAACAAUUUACAUUUGUAUGGGACACAUGUCACAGUUACUAGCCAGGAUCCAUACUUUAUUCAGAUUUCACAGUUUUUACCUUAAGUAUCCUUUCUAUAUUUGUAGAUCUCAUCUAGAAUACCUCAUUACAUUUAGUCAUCAUGUCAUUUUAAGAUACUGUAGAUUGUGAUAGGUUUUCAGGUUUUCCUUGUUUUUGAUGACCUUGACAGUUUUAAGGACUACCAGCCAAAUAUUUUUUAGAAUAUUUUUCAUUUGAUUUUGCCUAUUUUUUUUCUUAUAUUAGACUGUGAUAUAGGUUUGGAAGAGGAAGAUUAGAGGUAAGAUGCCAUUCUUGUCAAAUCAUGCCAAGAGUUUGUACUAUAAACAUUACCUGUCACUGUUGAGAUUAAACCUUGGUCACCUGGCUGAAGUAGUUUGUCAGUUUUCUCCACUGUGAAGUUACUCUUUCUGCUUCCCUUUUCCACACUGUACUAUUUAAAAGGAAGUCACUAUACAUAGUCCUCUGUUAAGAAGUAAGGAGUUAGGCUCAACUUCUUUGAGGCAAGGUUUGCUACCAAAACUAUUUUGAAUUACCUUACACAGGAAAAUCGGAUUUAUUUAUAGUUGUUCAAAAUUGGACACAUUCAAGAUAUCCUUCCAUAGGUGAAUGGAUAAACUGUUACAGCCAUACAAUGAAAUAUUAUUCAACCAUGUAAAGAAAUAAGCUAUCAUGCCACAAAAAGACAUAGUGGAUCCUUAAACACAUAUUAUCACAUAAGAGAAACCAGUCUAAAAAUAUUGGAUACUGUAUGAUUCCAAUUACAUGACAUUCUUGAAUUGGAAAACUGCAGAGGCAGUAAGAAGAUUAGUGGUUUUCAAGGGUUAAGGGGCAUGGAGGAAGGGAUGAACAGAUAGAGCCCAGAGAGUGAUAAAGGUGGUAAAAUUAUGCUGUAGGAUACUGAGUAGACCGUGCAUGUAAUUGUGGAUACAUGACAUUAUUGUGAAAACCUAUAGAACAAUACCAUACAAAGAGCAAACCCUAAUGUAAACUAUGGCUUUACUUAAUAAUAAUAUUGGUUCAUCAAUUGUAACAAAUGUACCAUCAUCAGUGUAAGAUGUUAAUAAUAGGGAAAGUUGUAUGUUGUGGCUGGGGAGAAAGAAAAGAAGUAUACAGGUACUCUCUGAAUGUUCUGCUAAAAUUUCUUGUAAAACAAUAAAAAAUAAUAAAUAUCAAAAAAUAAAAAUAUAAUAACUAUUUUUAAAUUAUCUAUAUUAUUAUAUAUA